AUUGCCUUGGUACUUGAUAUAAAAAAAAUAGAAUAACUACAAAAAGUAGUAAAUAGAAAUGGAUAAAUAGUGGGUUCCUUCGUUUCUAUGGUUACUUCUAAAACGUCUAUGAUCUAAACGAGUCGCACAUACACCCGAGUACAUGUUCCUCGUCGCUGAGGGCAUUCCCGAAGCGCUGGGGAUUUUGUGAAAUUUUGGAUUGGAUGUCUUGUAUUUCUAAUAAGUUGUUUAAUGGUUGGCAUACGGAAUCAUAUAAAUAAUGGGCUGGUUUAGAUGGGUUCUAACCGGCUAAUUCUGAAUUACUUCUCUUCAAGAUUCUCUUCAAUAUAAAAAAAAUAUAUUGAAGAGAAUAUGAAACUAAACCUUUAAUCUAAAAAGAUAUAAAAUUAGCAGUGGUAGAUUUGCAUGAAAUCGCUCCUAUUUUUAUUGAACCGCUACAAGAUCAACAAUGCCAUGAGCUUGGGCUUCUGUUGCUGACAUAAAAACAUCCCUUUCCAUGUCUUCGGAUACAACCCAUAUAGGUUUGCCCGUUCUUUGUACAUAAACCCUUGUGAUGGUUUCGCGAAGUUUUAGUAGUUCUUCCGCUUCCAAGAUAACUUCUCCCGUUUGUGCCUCAUAAAACGAACUAGCGGGUUGAUGGAUCAUUACCCUGAUGAUAUAAUAGAAAAGCUUUUUCUAUUUCGCAGAAUGAGGCGAGAUAACCAAAAAAACAGAGAAAUUUGAAUAACCGUACAGGCUUUUUUUGUGCGUUGCAUACGGCUCUAGAAUGGAAUUUACGUUUUUGACCUUUCCUUUCGGCGAAAGAAAACAAAAUAUAGGUUCUAUUAUACGCGGAUCCAUAAAUGAUCCAAUUACCAUCCUUCUUUUUUGUUUUGUAGGAGUUAAAAAAAUACUAUGAUGGUUCCGUUGCUUUAUAUAUCAUUUUUUUUGAUCCGUCUAUGAUUCAGCAAUCCCAAAGUGUCUUUUUUUUGUUUUUGUAAAUAAGCUUCCGGUGUGAAAACAAAGUUUGUGACGCUGGGAUGUGCCCGAAUAGGGAAGAUAUCAUUUUAAAUACCCCUUUCUUAUCCCAUACUACUCUUUCAAUAUAUAAUCUAAUUUUUUUAAUCUAAAAAAUUUCAUAUCGAAUUCGAAGUGCCAUGCUAUUAUUACUUAACUAAUUCAUAUUUCCGAGGGCGAAGGCAUAGUAUUUUUUCUCUAAAAUAAAAAAACUCAUUGGCGCCAAGCGUGAGGGAAUGCUAUACGUUUGGUAAUUUCUCCUCCGACUAGGAUAAAGGAUGCUAUUGAAGCGGCCAAUCCCAUGCAUAUUGUCUGUACAUCGGGUCGCACAAAUUGCAUAGUAUCAUAAAUAGCCAUUCCAGAUAUUACCCAUCCACCAGGAGAGUUUAUAAACAAAUAAAGAUCUUUGGUAUCCUUUUCUAUACUGAGAUAUAUCAUAAGACUAAUAAGUUGAUUCGAGAUUUCGGUAUCAACCUCUUGGCCUAAAAAAAACAAUCUUUCUCGAUAAAGUCGGUUGAUUAGGAUAAAAUUUUAUUCCUUAGGAGCCGUACAGGCACCUUUUGAUGCAUACGGUUCAACAAAAAUUGUUAAAAAAUCAAUGUGUCGAUUCCAACCCCCUUUUUUUUUCAGAGAAGGCUUUUCUUUCUAACUUAAUAAGGGAAGGGCUUGCUUCCCUUUUAAAAGUAAAAGAAAAAAUAAAUAAGUUUUGGCCCCUUUUAUUUAUUAGAUAUUAUAAUCCUAAUAAUAAAAUAAUAAAACGAUUGAUUAGGCCUGUCAGACUAACUUGAUUCAUUGAUAUUUUUUUUUCAUCGAGAUUCAGUUGAAAUGGGGAUGGUUUUUUCUUGUUCCUGAAUGGGCUUCUUCCUUUUUUUAUUCCGUUUUUUUAGGUUUAUGCUCUACUCCGAGUAAAAGGAAAAAUUUGCCCGAUUUUGAUUUGCACAUAUAGGACAAAUGAACCAAAUACCGCGUCUUUUUUUUUUUUUACUACUCCUUCUUUUUUUUUUCAAUUCAUUUCUUUCACAUGUCUUCUGUCAAAUAGUCAAUAAAUUUUUAAUUAUAUUAUUUUAUUUGAUCAACAGUUUUAGAUCACCCUGUUUCAAUUUUUUGUAUUUUUUUUAUUUUUUAAUAGAAUUUUUAUCAUAAUUUUGAUAUCAUAUUCAUAUCAUAUUAAGUAGUAAUUAUAAAAAUAUUAUAUAUUAAUUAUCAAUUGGAUUUUUGCUAAACGGAGCCUGGAUACUUAAUUUUAUUAGUCCGAUCACGUAAACCAUAAAAAAUUUUUGAUAAUCUAAUAUCAAUCUAAAUACUCCCUGCAUUUAAUUCUAAUUUAUUUUUUGCGCUUCGCGUUACAAAUUUUUGAUAAUUCAAUCAAUCUUUUUGAGCGAAACAGAGGAUAUCUCGAUCGAGGGAGAAAAUGGGGAAAUCCCAUAUAGCCCAAUAUAUCUGACAAGUCGCACUAUAUGUCAACCCAAGAUGUAUCUCCUUCUCCAGGACUUCGAAAAGGUACUUUUGGAACGCCAAUAGGCAUGAAAUGAAAAAAAAA